CUCUCUCUCCGAAGCGCUCUCUACAGAGGCACAACAAACAGGCCGGGAGGAGGGACGGGAGGCCAGGAGAGCUCCACGUUCCGUGAAACCUUUGCAGAGGGGGACCUCAGAACCCUGGGACCUGGAUUUGGGACCUGACUCAGCCCUCAUAUGCGGUGUGAGCUCAACGCAUGAACACUGAGCUGCCUGGGUCUGCGGUGCCUCGAAACAGCAGUGGCCACUGUCUAGGGAGCAUCUCCCCGCAGCGCACUGGGUGUGCAGAGGCUGGGUAGGACCAACCUCAGGCUACCAGACACCCUGGUCUCCAGCCACUCCAAAGUUCCCCUUCUCAGUUUAGGAAAGAGUCCCCUGGGCCCCUCUGAACCCACAGAUGCAGAGCAAAAGAGCACCCAUUGCCCCGAAAGGACUGGCAGCACCACCCCUGCUCGAGCCCCUGGGGCAGGGGUGAAGGUGGAAGGCCAAGGAGGAGGACACGGGCCAUUCAUCCAGGGCUGGAGGGGUCUCCUAGCAGGGAAUGGUGGAGGCCCUGACCCCUUUCCCUCUUCGAGUACUGAUGGGUGAUCUGCCUGAGGGGGGCUGGCAGGAGAGGAACAAAAGCCCUCCAGAGAAGAGCUCCCCAUGGGGAGGGGGCUGCUUGAGGGCCCUGAGGGCAGUUUGGACACAGCCACUCCUGUGGGCAUGAUCACAGGCACAGGGCCCUCCUGGCCACAAGCUCCACCUGUCCUUUCUCUUCCCACUGCCACUGUCUCUGGGGUCCUCAGGAGCUGAGGGCAUAACUCCCUCCUUCUGGCUCCAUGACCCCCCACUUCUCUGAGAGGAACCCGUCUUGAUCCCUAAGGCCAGUCUCUGCCUCAGUGGCUACAGGUGAGGCCACAGAGACCCCAGGCUCAGCCAGACCCUUGUUGCCUGGGAGGUCUCGGAAGGUGUGUGCGUGUAUGUGUUCGUGUGUGCAUGUAUGUGUGUGUGUGUGUUUGGAGGGGGAAUCACCUCUGUCUUCGUAGUCGUGCCCCCACCUUCCCCACCCCUCUCCACCCCUGCCUCAUGCCUACCCAGCCCUGUCCAGGCACUGGACCCAACCAGCCUUGGGGGUGCCUGACCACAAUGGAGGCCUGCAGCUGGGGCAUCCCCUCGUGCCUGAGGCCAACCCAACCCUCUGCUCUGACUCAGGGAGAAGUUGGCUCCCAGGCACCCCCAGGGCAUCUGUGCACCUCCACCUCCAUCAGAAGCAGCCCCACCUGUUCCUGUCCUUUAGAUGAGCUGCACCGGGCAGAGGCAGCUGGGGAUGGGGGAGGUGCCUGUGUCCUCAGGCUAUGGCCUCAGGAACCAAGGGCUCAGGUCUAACCCUGAGCCACAUCCCCAGAUACCCACAGUAUCUUCCUUCCCAGGAAAACCCAGGAAGCAGGGUUAUUUGUCCUUAUUUCAUAAACAAAGAAAUGGAGCCCCUGAGAGCCACAGUGACAUGCCUGAGAGCAUCAACCUGGGCGGCGUCCAGGAUGGGCUCAAACCCAGGGGGAAGUUGAUCCCACAGCCACGGAAAUAGCCAGAUACUCCUCUGGCCUUCCCUCCCACCCUGAGGGAGACACCCGGAGGAGCAGAUCCCCAGGGAAUUCAGAACAGCUGCCACGGAACCUCCCCUGAAACUGCAGGGGCAUUCCCGGCAUGCCUACUCAACAGCCUGAGGAGGGCACCAGCUGAGAGACAGAAUUUUUGGAAGAACUUAGGAAAGAAACUAAGAAAAGACAACAGCACACAGCAACAAGCAGUCAUCCGGGCCUCUCAUGUCACCGAGAACAUUAUGGUGGGCGCCUGUGAGCUCUUCCUGACCACCCAAGACUUCUAGGAUGCUUUCCCGACCACCCUGCUCCACCCAGGGCAGAGUUGCCAACUCCUUGAUGCCUCCUGUGUUGCAAUCCCAGUCAGAUGAGGUCCCAGGGCCCCAGGGUGGGCGGCGGCUCACCGUAGCCGUGCUCGUACUCUCGGUGUCGACGCCGGCGGUGGUGAUGAUGGUGGUGGUGGUGGCGGUGGUGGCGGUGGCGGUGCCGCUGAAGCCGGGCCUGCCUGUCCCUGCGGAUGCUGCCCACAAUGAUGGUGAUGCAGGAGAGGAUGAUGACCACACCUAUGACGGCACUCGCCACCAGCACGGGGGACACGAGCAGAUGGCUGUGCUCCGAGCUCUCUGAGAAUGUGGGGUAGAAGUAGCUGGUGCGGUUGUAUCGUGCUACUGUGGACAGAGAGAGAGGACACUGAGCUGGAGCCCAGGCCUGCCACACCCCUUCCUUCUCUGCCCGUGCUGCCCUGUGAGCUGUUGCUCCCUAAAUAAAUGGAGGAGGGUCUGGGCUCAGGCCCACGGACUCUAUCCUGGCUGCUCCUGGGGGAGAAGGAGAGCAGCACCUCACUCCGCUGCCUGCAGGAGCCUCUGGUAGUGAGGGCUGACUGUCCCUCCUCUCCUCUGAAGCCUCUGCCCACAAGCUGAACUACCUCACAGAUAGGAAACAGGAAGCUCAGAGAGGGCAGUGGACUUGCCCAAGGUUACCCAGCAAAUUAGUGGUAGAGCUGAGGCUUGAAUCCAAGACUCUUAGAGCUAGACAAGUUGAAAGGUCAACAUGAUUUUACCAAUGUCUUAGGAAGCAGUGGGGGAUGCACAGGGGGACAGAGUAUGAGUAACGAUUCUGCCGGCUUCAGGCAGGCCUGGGGCUGUGGGCUGAAAUUGACCCAGAUGCGUCAGGGGCUUGGAUCAGAUGAGAGAAGGUUUCCCAGAAGAGGUAAGGCCAAGGUGAUCUUGGAGGGUGAGGAUGAGUUAGCUCAGGGAAGGCAGGGAGAGGCAUUCCAGGAGGGACAAAGGCACAGAAGGGUAGAGGGGACUUCCAGGGAGGAUGUGGUGUGGUGGGAGCAAGGGGAGAGUGCAGGAACCUCCUCCAGGACUAACAGCUGGAUCCUUGAGAGUCCUACGGAAAGAAGCUCCUGGGGACGGGUGACUUAGUCCUCUCACCGGAAAAGAUGCUGGGGCCUUGGGAGCUGGGGUCCUGGGGAGGGGUCUGAGUCAGCUAGGGGCAGCCAUGGGCACCCACUGCCUCACGUGGACAGUCAGCUCCGCAUUAGUGAGUGUCUUGGAGUGUCACUGAAUUCCCUCCAACUCAGCCCUGCAACUUAGGAUGCAACUUUCUCCUUUCACAGAUGGGUGGACUGAGACUCAGCGCUGGUAAGUGACUGGCCCAUGGUUGCUCAGUUACUCCACGGCAGAGCUAAGCUAGAACCCAGAUCUGGCUUCAAAGUCCAGUGCUUGCUCUCUUGCCCUCAGUGCCUCUCCUGCUCUCAGUGCAAACCCUUCCUGAGGCUGCCAGCCGGAUCUCUGAACAGCAGUAGGGAGCCAGCUUCAGACAUUCAAUGAACCACAGGGUCACGGGCAAGCACCAGGAAGGUCAGAUCUUUCGUAGGCUCUGUUCUGAGAGGGGUCCCCUUGCACGUUCUCCCAGAGCCCAUGUUCAAGCCCCAGCUUUGCAUUUGUUACAUAUGAUCAUGUCUGGUUUCCAGGGCUUGUGUUUGAUCACUCUCUGUGUCCUCAAACUCAACAAUGGGGCUAGGCACUCCAAAGUUUCCUAAUGCAUGUAUUGAGUGAGUAGCUCCAGUCUUGAGACCAGAUGGGGAAAUGGCAGGGAGGCCUUGCGAUGCCUCAGGAGAGUGAGGCCUCUGUCUUGGGUGGUAAUCAAGGAGAGCGUGGGUGGCCACCUGCCUGAGUAGCUGUAGGAGGGCUUUUUUCCCAGGUGAGGGCCUGGCCAUCUACCAAUCAGAGGCUUGACACUCAGCUGUGAUCGUUUCUCCUUCCCAUACCUUUCUAGCACUGACCCCAAAAGCCUCAAUCACACUCAACCUAGGACAGGAACAGGUGGUAAAGCACAAACUCGGGACCUUAGCUGGGGCUAGAAACAUGCCCUUGGGGCAGGUGUGGCCCAUGCUGGUGGCUCUUGCAGCCUACUAGCCUUCAUCAGGAGGGAGUGAGAUGGAGGCUCUAGUGUCUGGGCCAGUGUGUCAUCUCACUCUUGAGAGCCAAGCCUUUGCUGAAGUUCACUGUAAGACGCUCCCCUGGAGAGGCACGCACUGGAGUGAGGGAGCGCCCUAAGGCUUUGGUUGGACAUGCAUGCUUCCUGACCCUCCGAUGUGAGAAUGUGGGGUGUGGAGACAAGAGUGACUCCAUCUUGGAUGCUGAUAUAGUUUGGCUCUGUGUCCCCAUCCAAAUCUCACCUUUAAUUGUAAUCCCUAUAAUCCCCACGUGUUAAGGGCAGGACCAGGUGGAGGUAAUUGAAUCUUGGGGGCAGUUUCUCCCAUGCUGUUCUCGUGAUAAUGAGUGAGUCUCAUGAGAUCUGAUGGUUUUGUAAGUGUCUGGCAUUUCCCCUGCUUGUACUCAUUCUCUCUCCUACUGCCCCGUGAAGAGGUGCCUUCCGCCAUGAUUGUCUGUUUCUUGAGGCCUCUCCAGCCAUCUGGAACCGUGAGUCAAUUAAACCUCUUUUCUUUAUAAAUUAUCCGGCCUCAGGUAUUUCUUCAUAGCAAUGUGAGAAUGAACUAAUACAGAUGCUAAUCUGCCCUGUUGACUUCUGAUUAGCCCUGGUCCUGUGAAAACCUCCUGAUUCUCACUUUAUUUACUGUCUUUAGCGUAAGAACAUGUCAGCCUUGAUGUUAUUGCACAAAUUAUAGGUUAUGAUGCAUGUAGCAUUCUUGCCUGUUCUGGAGGGCUGCCUUUAAUUGUCUUGCAUAGAGCAUGUAUACCCUUUCCCUGUGAUAUAUAAGCCCUGGGUCUGGGGAGCAACAGUGUGGAGAUCUACCUGUUUUGCUGCUCUCCAAGACUACACUUCCAUCCUUAAGUUCCCCAAAUAAAUCACUCUGUACUGACAAAUUGGAUUUGUCUGCCUCACUUUGGUGAUAAGUUAAAAUGACAUCACACUAAAACUUGUGAGAUGCAGGCUGGGCGCAGUGGCUCAUGCCUGUAAUGCCAGCACUUUGGGAGGGUG
rnacentral:lncRNA from 1 species